GUAGCAAAUAUAGCUUAUGUUUAGUGGCGGACGGGGUGAGUAAACGCGUGAGUAAUCUACCUUUCGAGUGGGGGAGUAACAACUGGAAACGGCUGCUAAUACCGCAUAAGAUCAUGGGAGGCAUCUCUUUGUGACCAAAGAUUAAUUGCUUUAAGAUGAGCUCGCGUCCGAUUAGGUAGUUGGUGAGGUAAAGGCCCACCAAGCCUGCGAUCGGUAGCCGGACUGAGAGGUUGGCCGGCCACAUUGGGACUGAGAUACGGCCCAGACUCCUACGGGAGGCAGCAGUGGGGAAUAUUAGGCAAUGGGGGAAACCCUGACCUAGCGACGCCGCGUGAAGGAAGAAGGUUUUCGGAUUGUAAACUUCUUUUAAGAGGGACGAUAAUGACGGUACCUCUUGAAUAAGCCACGGCUAACUACGUGC
rnacentral:rRNA from 1 species